GUAAGGACAUGUGGAGCGCUUAGAAGUGAGAAUGCCGGUGUGAGUAGUGAAAGACGGGUGAGAAUCCCGUCCACCGAUUGACUAAGGUUUCCAGAGGAAGGCUCGUCCGCUCUGGGUUAGUCGGGUCCUAAGCUGAGGCCGACAGGCGUAGGCGAUGGAUAACAGGUUGAUAUUCCUGUACCACCUAUAAUCGUUUUAAUCGAUGGGGGGACGCAGUAGGAUAGGCGAAGCGUGCGAUUGGAUUGCACGUCUAAGCAGUAAGGCUGAGUAUUAGGCAAAUCCGGUACUCGUUAAGGCUGAGCUGUGAUGGGGAGAAGACAUUGUGUCUUCGAGUCGUUGAUUUCACACUGCCGAGAAAAGCCUCUAGAUAGAAAAUAGGUGCCCGUACCGCAAACCGACACAGGUAGUCAAGAUGAGAAUUCUAAGGUGAGCGAGCGAACUCUCGUUAAGGAACUCGGCAAAAUGACCCCGUAACUUCGGGAGAAGGGGUGCUCUUUAGGGUUAACGCCCAGAAGAGCCGCAGUGAAUAGGCCCAAGCGACUGUUUAUCAAAAACACAGGUCUCUGCUAAACCGUAAGGUGAUGUAUAGGGGCUGACGCCUGCCCGGUGCUGGAAGGUUAAGAGGAGUGGUUAGCUUCUGCGAAGCUACGAAUCGAAGCCCCAGUAAACGGCGGCCGUAACUAUAACGGUCCUAAGGUAGCGAAAUUCCUUGUCGGGUAAGUUCCGACCCGCACGAAAGGCGUAACGAUUUGGGCACUGUCUCAACGAGAGACUCGGUGAAAUCAUAGUACCUGUGAAGAUGCAGGUUACCCGCGACAGGACGGAAAGACCCCGUGGAGCUUUACUGUAGCCUGAUAUUGAAAUUCGGCACAGCUUGUACAGGAUAGGUAGGAGCCUUUGAAACGUGAGCGCUAGCUUACGUGGAGGCGCUGGUGGGAUACUACCCUAGCUGUGUUGGCUUUCUAACCCGCACCAAUUAUCGUGGUGGGAGACAGUGUCAG
rnacentral:rRNA from 1 species